AAGGAAAUGAAGCUGGAGAGGAAGCUUUUCGGAGUCCUGGAUGUCAGUGCCCAAAAUGCCCAGUUCUUCCAGGAAAAGCUGCUGAGCCCUGGCCUUCUCAGUCUCACAGCCACUCAAAAAUAUUGCUGUCCCUGUCUGUCCCAGACCCACCUUCAGGGUAUCUGAACCCACUGGGGGACCCCUCUUCUCCUUCCUGGCUGGCCCUGGCUUCCAAUCGAGGACUGACUAUUGAAGUCUGCUACAGGUGUCAUUUGGAACUGUCUUACCAAAUUUUAAAACAGCUGCUAUUUUUCCUGCUCCUCCCCAGGAGAGGGGUCUUCCUAGAGGAGGCGAGGGAAGAGAAUAUCAUGGUGUCUCCUCAGGACCCAUGCACUGGCCCCCUCUCCUCCUUCCAGGUAAUUUUUCAAUGGAAUGUAUCCCAGUAGAGAAGGUAGUCAGCCCUUCUUGGAAGCGGAAGGCUGGGAGCCAAGUCUGCCCACAGCGCUAGAUGUCCAACUCUGGAAGGUUCUUGGAGGCUCUUGUUGUAAGACAGGCCUCUGCCACCUGAUCCUCCAGGUCACCAUCAUGAUGAUAGAGACUCCUUGCCCAUCUGUGACACUUUCCAAUGCAUAUCCAAACUUUACCUUAUUUUAUCUAUGCAACCCCUGCCUCCCUGGGAAGGAUAAGGAAGUAGAGCUGGGUUCACUAAGAAGGAAGUUUAGGCCCUCACAGGCUCUGGAACUUGCCUUAAGCCACACACCAGAUAAGUGGAGGAGCCAGACCAGAAGUCCAGACCCAAAGCUUGAGAUUCUUUCUCUAGAAUGGGUGAGCACAGGUGAUUCAGGCAGCUUAAAUCCAUCAGAGCAGCCCUGCCGGAAAAGGAAAUAAUAUGAUGUUUUUUCCUGCUCUUGUUCUGCCUUGCUCACUCAUUCUCCCUCCGCAGUAUCUGGAAAGAUUCUGGAGACCAGGGCUUAUGCAUCUAGGGAAAGUGACCAAGGGCAGCCUAUCCAGCCUCUGCCUCCAUUCCUGAAGGGGACUUCCCUGCCCCUGUUUCUUUCCAUGUCUCUCCUUCCCUCACUCCCAUUUGCCCCCUUCCACCCCAUCAGGUUAGCCACAUAUCUUCCAGGGCUCAGCUGUUCACACCAACUCCCUGGCUCUUAUCAUCCAUCCCUCCUUCCCCCAGGAGCUUCCACUGUAGGAGUUUCAGGGAGAAGAGUUUGGAAGUCAUUGGACCUUUCAGCCCUCAGGUUCCCUAGAGGAGCCUAGGUGAUCUGUGAGUACCAAUGGUGGGCCAAAGACGCAGGGAAUAAUGAAGGGAGAAAGAAAAGAAAGGAAGAUGGAGGAAAAUGAGGCAAGUGGAAGAAGAAGGAAGGAAAGAAGGAAGGGAGGGAGGGGAUGAAGAGAAGGGAGAGAGGGAUAUAGCUGAGGAAUUUAUCUAAAAAUGUGCAUGUAAAUCUCCAUUAUGUUCCAGGUACUGUGCCUUAUGAUGGCUUUGUUUUUUGUUGUCAUUAGAGACAAGGUCUUGCUUUGUCACCCAGGCUGGAGUAGAGUGGUUCAAUCAUAGCUCACUGCAGCCUCAACCUCCUAGGCUCAAGCCAUCUUCCUGCCUCAGUCUCCCAAAAUGCUGGGAUUACAGGUGUGAGCCACUAUGCUCAGCCUGUUUCAAACAUUAUUAUAAUAGCAGAUUUAUUUAGUACUUUAUUAUACAUCAGAUACCACUCUAAUUGUGAAAUAGAUAUAUAUUCAUUUAAUUAUCGAAACCACCAUGUAGUUAAAACACUAUUAACUCAUUUUACAGUUGAGUAGACUGAGACACAGAGAAGUUAAAGAACUUGCCCAAGAGUAAAUGUCUAAUAAACCGUAGAGCCAGGAUCUGGGCCCAGGCUGUCUGACUCCAGAACUUGCUCACUCAACCACUAAACCAUCCUGCUUCUCAUGGGAAACAAACACAUCCUGCCUUUGAGGAUCCUACAGCCUGUGACAAAAACAGUCAUAAAAAUGGACAAUUGCCUUAUUACACAAGGAGCUCUCAAGUGGCAAUAUAAGCAAUGGAAGUGGCUGUCCAGAGGAGGGAAUUUCUAGUCCUAGGUCUUUAAGGAUGAAUAGGAGUUUGCCAGAGUGAGAAAGGGAAUUGAAGUUUCCUGGGAGGGGCCUGUUAAAAAGCAAUGAGAUACGGCCAGGCCUGGCUUGUUUGGGGAAGAGUCAAAAUCUAGGGUGGCAAGAGUAUGGGAAGCACACUGAGGAGCAGAGAGAAAUGGGGUAGGUAGGAAGGUAGGGUUUUGACCGCAAAGAGCUGUGCAUGCUAAACUGGGCCACAGGUGCCAGCAGGGUUGUUUGAGGAAGGGAAGAGCAAGACAAGCUCUGGUUUAGGAAGAGAGCUGUGGCAGCAUAAAGGCCUGAAAGAGGAGACAGAGCUGUCACCCAAAAUGGACUUGAGAGCUCCCUGUGGUUACUCUGUGGCUAGAAAACACUGCCGGCCAGAUGGAUCACAAAUGUCUAUGGUAGCUUAGAAGCUCUGCUCUUGAAGAGGAUCCUGGGAUCUGCCCAACACCCUUCCUAACCUCCAUUUCCCCAUCCCCACCUCCAUUGCCCCAUCCCCCAUCUCCCCCUAGGCAGGUGGAUCUGAGCCUUAUCCCACCACCAAUGCCCGUGCUAGCCUCUCCCCACCCAGCCCAGAGCCUACUCAGCCUGCCAUCUCAAGAGCCCCACCGAGGGUCACUGGCUUCCUGGGAGGAGUCACCAGGCUGCCAGCUUUCCCUCUGCCUCCCCAAGGAACCUGAGACCUCCCUCUGCUCAUCACCCUGGGCCCAAUCCUGAAUCCAGCACCCAUCAACCAAGACAGCAAAAGGGCCAGGUCUGUCCCUUAUAAUUUUGAGCCCUCAAGUUUGGAAGCCCUGACUUUAAGAAAUGCCAAAUGCAAGGACCAUUAAGAAAAUUCUCCCCGAAAUGAGGCUCCUCUAACAAAUGAUGAUUAAAACUCUCUCUCCUUGAGCAGUCACAUUCUAGAAACAGGACAUUCCAUGAGGCAGGAAGAGUUCAGUUAAUUUGCUCCUGAAAAAGUGUGGUUCAGUGUUUGUGUGGCAAUGUACGUGGGCAGAAGAGGCCGCUCAAGCUGUGUCCCCCCUGAGCAGGAUUCAGGAAAGGGAAAAGAAGGUCUCUUUGACUCAACCAAGGGGCCGUACGAUGGCCGAUGAGAUUAUGUAUUUAAAAGUUCUUUGUAAAGUGUAAACUAAAAACCUUAAAUGUAAGAUGCUGUUGUUAUUAUUACUGUUGUUGUUGCUGUUAUGGACAUGCCAAAAGGCCCUUGUUAGAAGACAGUUUUGCCUUUUCAAUCUCAUAGCAAGGAACUCAAGUCUGAUGCUUCAAAAAGAUGAGAAGAAGGGCAAGAAGAGGGAGAACUCCCAAGCUCAGAGGGAAAAAAAAGGGGGGGGGUGGGGAAGAGCCCCAGGGUGACCUUCAGGAAAGGCCAGGACCAGGAUGAUCUAAACUUUCCCUUCACCAGAGACAAGGCUAUUGUCAGACUGAACCCUAAGGUCAAGCAGUCACCCACUGCCUUUGCUGGGAGCAGAAGCCCAUAGCAACAAGUGAUCUGCCCCUCAGACUCAAGAUCCCAGAUAUCAGCUGGAGGAGUCGUAGGGCAUUACUGGUAGGCAGGAAAACUGAGGGUCGAACAAAUGGAAGAAUGCGGUGAUCAUAGACCAAAGACACACAGAUAAUUAACCCCAUGUGUCCACCCAGGCCAAAGUUCUUCCUGCUACCCCACAGUGGAUGUCCAGGCAGAUGGUCCCCACAUGAUGGGGAAGCUGAGGGCAUAGUGUGGUUUGGUGGGACUUGUUCAUGUUUUGUAGUGUGGGCUCAACAGUGCCAAAGGAAACACUAGGGAAAAGUUGGUGAAACAUGCCAGAUAGCAGGACCAGUAAAGGCAUAAUCAGGCAUUUGGCAAAGCUUGCUUUUCUAAUUCAAUGAUAGGUUCUAAUAGGAAAUUUUUAAAGACUUUUUAAAACAAUGUUAUAGUGCCACUUCCCCAGUAUGGAAUAAAUAACAUGCAUUCUUUUUUCAAUAUACUGUCAUAUUCGGAUGUCAUUAAAAUAAAUGGA
rnacentral:lncRNA from 1 species